rnacentral:rRNA from 1 species
UACGUAGGGUGCGAGCGUUGUCCGGAAUUAUUGGGCGUAAAGAGCUUGUAGGCGGUCUGUAGCGUCUGCUGUGAAAAUCCGGGGCUCAACCCCGGACUUGCAGUGGGUACGGGCAGACUAGAGUGUGGUAGGGGAGACUGGAAUUCCUGGUGUAGCGGUGAAAUGCGCAGAUAUCAGGAGGAACACCUGCGGCGAAGGCGGGUUGCUGGGCCGACACUGACGCUGAGGCGCGAAAGCUAGGGGAGCGAACGGG